rnacentral:rRNA from 1 species
GACCUCGGAUCAGGUAGGAAUACCCGCUGAACUUAAGCAUAUCAAUAAGCGGAGGAAAAGAAACCAACAGGGAUUGCCCUAGUAACGGCGAGUGAAGCGGCAAUAGCUCAAAUUUGAAAUCUGGCCUUCGGGUCCGAGUUGUAAUUUGUAGAGGAUGCUUUUGGUGCAGUGCCUUCCGAGUUCCCUGGAACGGGACGCCUUAGAGGGUGAGAGCCCCGUACGGUUGGACACUAAGCCUCUGUAAAGCUCCUUCGACGAGUCGAGUAGUUUGGGAAUGCUGCUCUAAAUGGGAGGUAAAUUUCUUCUAAAGCUAAAUAUUGGCCAGAGACCGAUAGCGCACAAGUAGAGUGAUCGAAAGAUGAAAAGCACUUUGAAAAGAGGGUUAAAUAGCACGUGAAAUUGUUGAAAGGGAAGCGUUUGCGACCAGACCUUUUCCUGGCGGAUCAUCCGGUGUUCUCACCGGUGCACUUCGCCAGGUUUAGGCCAGCAUCGGUUUCCGCAGAGGGAUAAAAGCUCUGGGAACGUAGCUCCUUCGGGAGUGUUAUAGCCCUCUGCAUAAUACCUUUGUGGGGACCGAGGACCGC